GACGAACGCUGGCGGCGUGCUUAACACAUGCAAGUCGAACGGAAAGGCCCUGCUUUUGUGGGGUGCUCGAGUGGCGAACGGGUGAGUAACACGUGAGUAACCUGCCCUUGACUUUGGGAUAACUUCAGGAAACUGGGGCUAAUACCGGAUAGGAGCUCCUGCUGCAUGGUGGGGGGUGGAAAGUUUCGGCGGUUGGGGAUGGACUCGCGGCUUAUCAGCUUGUUGGUGGGGUAGUGGCUUACCAAGGCUUUGACGGGUAGCCGGCCUGAGAGGGUGACCGGCCACAUUGGGACGGAGAUACGGCCCAGACUCCUACGGGAGGCAGCAGUGGGGAAUAUUGCACAAUGGGCGGAAGCCUGAUGCAGCAACGCCGCGUGCGGGAUGACGGCCUUCGGGUUGUAAACCGCUUUCGCCUGUGACGAAGCGUGAGUGACGGUAAUGGGUAAAGAAGCACCGGCUAACUACGUG
rnacentral:rRNA from 1 species